GCCAGGUGCAGUGGUGCAUGCCUGUAAUCCCAGCUACUCAGAAGGCUGAGGCAGGAGGAUCACAAGUUUGAGGUCAGCCCCAGCAACUUAGUGAGAUCUUGUUUCAA
rnacentral:sRNA from 1 species